UGGGGAAUUUUGCACAAUGGGGGAAACCCUGAUGCAGCGACGCCGCGUGAUUUAGAAGGCCUUCGGGUUGUAAAAAUCUUUUCUAUGGGAAGAAAUUGACAGUACCAUAGGAAUAAGGACCGGCUAAUUACGUGCCAGCAGCCGCGGUAAUACGUAAGGUCCGAGCGUUGUCCGGAAUCAUUGGGCGUAAAGGGUACGUAGGCGGGUAAGCAAGUUAGAAGUGAAAUCCUGUAGCUCAACUACAGUAAGCUUUUAAAACUGCUCAUCUUGAGAUAUGGAAGGGAAAGUGGAAUUCCUAGUGUAGCGGUGAAAUGCGCAGAUAUUAGGAGGAAUACCGGUGACGAAGGCUACUUUCUGGCCAUAAUCUGACGCUGAGGUACGAAAGCGUGGGUAGCAAACAGG
rnacentral:rRNA from 1 species